rnacentral:rRNA from 1 species
UACGAAGGGGGGCUAGCGUUGCUCGGAAUUAUUGGGCGUAAAGGGCUCGUAGGCGGUCUGUUGCGUCGGGAGUGAAAACUCAGGGCUUAACCCUGAGCCUGCUUCCGAUACGGGCAGACUAGAGGUAUGCAGGGGGAGAACGGAAUUCCUGGUGUAGCGGUGAAAAUGCGCAGAUAUCAGGAGGAACACCGGUGGCGAAGGCGGUUCUCUGGGCAUUACCUGACGCUGAGGAGCGAAAGUGUGGGGAGCGAACAGG